UUGACGCCUCCCGGCCGCCGUAGGCGGAGGUUGGGGGCCGGUGGCCCCGGGCGCCCACUUGGGUGCCCCCAGCCCCGCGGGGCCGUGGGCCUGAGGACGCUCGGCGGGCACAGGCCUGGUCAUUCGUUCGUCCAUUCAUUCACUCACUCCUUGAGCUGACUCAGGAAUAGAGAUGGGUUGUCUGCGGAUCCUAGAACAAGUUCUGGAGAUGGUGAACAGAUGGCCAAGCAGAAUUGCCAUAAUCCUCGAUAGCAAGAGGCAGCUUACCUUGUGGAAACUUGGGCCUCUCUUCUGACGACUGUAGGGAUUAAGAGAACAAGGAAUGGCAUGGGGGACAGUCCCCUCUAGGGGACAGGGAAGCCCCUGCCCAUCAUGUGACAACCCACCUGCCCCCACAGAUUUCCAGCACGCCCUCUGGUGAACCACUGGCCCAUUUCCACGCACUGAAGAUAAGCUAUAACUAUGCUGAUUGGAAGAAAUACAGCGAGAUGAGUGCCGUCCGCUGGAUGUGAGUACAUUCGUGACUUCAGACUUUCCGGUAGCCGCAUUUAAAAACAAGGUGCUAACAGGUAAUGCCUGGAUGCGACAGAGAUCGUGAAAGUCGAGUCUUUGGAAGCACCAAUCUGCUCUGAUCUCCUCCAACAAGAGGAAACGGAGGUUCUGGAAAGGGAGAAAGUUUGUCUAAGGCUACUCAGUGUGUGGAAGCAGGACUAGGGGCAGGUCAUGAUUGCCCAGAGUCUCCGAGCUCUUUCAUUCGGUUUCCAAGGACCCCUUCUUGGCCACUGGAAGUUCACCUGGAGAUCGGAUACCAUGAUCAAGUCCCCAGAAGGUGCCUUGAGGAUGAAUUUACAAAAGCACAAGAAGCUGGAGAAAAGCCUCUUCUACCCACACGGUGAAUUACCUGAAUGAAUCUAAGAGCCUCAUUUUCAAAGACAAAAAUUGGUCGUUUACUGGAUCUAGAACAACUGAAACUUCGCUGGAUAACAAGGUAAAUGAAUGCAUUGCACCAUUCACCAAAGUGGAGGCCCUCAAGCUGCUGGUUGUUUGGCGUAAUGGGAGAUUCAGAAUGCAGUUAAUGGGUUAGUGUAGUUUUUAUUGUAAAAGCAAACUAAAUUAAACUGAUAGUUUUAAUUAAA